AUUUUGCUUCAGGACCAACCUAUGACAACGUGCUCCAUGUGACCAGGGCUAAUGUGGCUUUGAAGGGCAUAUAAAGAAAUCAUGUGAAGGUGCCUUGGGAAUGUUCCUGUCGUCACUGUCCAGUGCCUGAUGCAAAUUGUUUUCUUCACUUUGUUAUUUAAACUGCUGGCAGGUCUGCCACAACCUGCACCCCGGUUGCUGCCAUCUGCCCACACCGGCACAGUCGGCUGCAGGCUGAUGGACAGGUUUGCUCUGGAGGAGUCAGUGCUGCCAGGCCUUCCUGCAUCCCUGCAA